rnacentral:rRNA from 1 species
CCGGCGCACGGGUGAGUAACACGUACCCAACCUGCCGUCUACUCUUGGCCAGCCUUCUGAAAGGAAGAUUAAUCCAGGAUGGCAUCAUGAGUUCACAUGUCCGCAUGAUUAAAGGUAUUUUCCGGUAGACGAUGGGGAUGCGUUCCAUUAGAUAGUAGGCGGGGUAACGGCCCACCUAGUCAACGAUGGAUAGGGGUUCUGAGAGGAAGGUCCCCCACAUUGGAACUGAGACACGGUCCAA